rnacentral:lncRNA from 1 species
UUUAUCAGAUUUGGCAUUAUUUUCAUAAGAUCAUAUCAAGCAUAACGUGUAUGACUGAAAAAUAUGAAAGAUAUGCAAUGGUUCAUUUUCCAUUUUUCAGAAGAUCAAAAGGAGUUUUCAUCAAAAAUAGAUCUAAUAGAAAUCAUAUGUAUGACAAGCAGUGAUGAUAGUUUUUUUUUAAAAAAAUCAUUUAAGUAGAUGACUAUCAUACACAAUUGUCUUUUUCAUUUCUUCAAGAAUUCUAUUAAUCCUAUUUUACUUAAGGUGUCCUUGGUGCUGAAAAUAUUAUUUUUCUGUGCACAACUUAACACAAAAUUGGUUUUCAAUCACUAUGCCAUGAUUUCAUAGUUUGCAAACCUUUAUCAUUUGAUCGCUUUUUGUGAGUUUG